rnacentral:rRNA from 1 species
GCGGAGGAAAAGAAACCAACAGGGAUUGCCUCAACGGCGAGUGAAGCGGCAAAAGCUCAAAUUUUAAAGCUGGCACCUCCGGUGUCCGCGUUGUAAUUUUGUGAGGCAUCUCCGGGUGGGGCGCCGGCCUAAGUUCCUUGGAACAGGACGUCAUAGAGGGUGAGAAUCCCGUGCUUGGCUGGCUGUCCCCGUCCAUGUGAGGUGUCUUCGACGAGUCGAGUUGUUUGGGAAUGCAGCUCAAAAUGGGUGGUAAAUUUCAUCUAAAGCUAAAUAUUGGUGGGAGACCGAUAGCGCACAAGUAGAGUGAUCGAAAGAUGAAAAGCACUUUGAAAAUAGAGUUAAAAAGUACGUGAAAUUGUUGAAAGGGAAGCGCUUGAGACCAGACUUCGGUGGGGAGUGAUCAGCCGUCCUUCUGGGCGGUGCACUUGCCCCCCUCCGGGCCAGCAUCGGUUGGGACGGCGGGAUAAAGGUCCCGGGAAUGUGGCUCCUCUCGGGGAGUGUUAUAGCCCGGGUGAAUGCCGCCAGCCCCGACCGAGGACCGCGCCUUCGGGCUAGGA